CUUAGUAUAAUUUUAUAUUAAAGUUAAUACAAAGUUGAGACACUUAUUUUGGGUUGGAGGGAGUAGUAAGGAACAAAUCCGUAAGUGUGCCUUGGUGAAAAGAAAUAACCUUCCAAUUGCACGGUAACAUUUUCUAAAUACAAAUUGUGCAUUUAUUUAAUGAAAAUAAAAUUGUUCUUACUGUACAAACAUUUAUAUAUUUGAACUGAAACAUUUUCUUCAAUAUUUGAACUAUCUUUUCUUCUGACACCAGACUCUCCCUUUUCAGACUCAAUUACAAACACUCUCUCUCUCUCUCUCUCUGUGUGUAUGUGUGUGUGCGCAAAUCCACAAGUUUUAUUUUCUUGUGACAAUUUACAUGAUUCAUAUAUUUUAAAAUAGAAUCAUUUUUUUUAUAUAUUUGAAUUGAUGGUGCUAAGACCUUCAGAGCAAGCUCUUGGAUACAUUUCAAACAUAUUUAAAUUUCAAAGUUUCAAUUAAAUUAUUUCACUCAAUCUAUUUCAUUGUGUGAAACAUUUUUUUUUGUGAUUUUCUUGAAGAAGACCAAAUACAAGUGUGUGAAGCUGAUAUUUGCGCAGCAUAAAUGGAGUUGCUUAUUUCAGUGAAUCUGCUUAUGUGUGAAGCUGCUUAUUUUCAAAAAAAAAUCAGUCACUGAAAAUUGUUCUUUUGAUUGAGUAUUUUUUUUAAACAAGUGAAAUACUAUUUUGAUUUGAGAAAUAUCUAUUUUUGGGAAUGAUUGACGUUUCAAAUGUGUGAAAACUGUUGUCUGACUACAGUGAAAUUGGUUUUUGAAAUUCGUAAAAUGAUUACUUUUUCAAUCAAGUCAACAUCAUUUGAAACACUUAAAUAUGUUUUUUUUCUUCUGAAAUGAGUGAUAUCUUUUUAUUGAAACGAUGAUCUAUUUUUCAAUUAAGUGAAUCCUUUUCUUAAAAUAGAGUCAAAUGAGUGUUUUCGAAUGAGUAUUUUUUUAAAUAAGUUCAAUAAGCUUUUAAAAUGAGUGAAAUCAGUUUUUCCAAAUGACUGAAGCCAGUUGUUUUUAUCGAAAUCUCUUUUCGGAAAUGUGUGAAAUUAUUAUUUUUGAAUGGGCCAAAAUCUGUGUUUGGAAAAUUAGUGAAAUAUGUGUGUUUGAAACUCGUUAACUAUAGAAAUAUGAAACCAAUUUUGUCCUAUGCAAAAUGGACUAUGAUUGAAAUCAGUGUAAGCAUUGUGGUACAUGACUCCAAAGGCUGGUCAUGCAAAAUUAAAAUAUGAAAUUACAUGCUGGCCAUGCUUCCGAUCUACGCUACUCCACAUCGAUGGCGGCUUCUAUUCUGGUGUGUUUGUCCUAUGUGAUUUUAGCACAAUGACUUUUUAACUGUUUACUGCAAUAAGUUUUUCCUGGCUCCAAUGAGGGAAGGAUAAUGACAGAGGCACGCCUUUGGCUCACUUCAGUGCUUGUACUUGUCGCUAAGUGGCCUACGAUCCUGGAUGUAAUUUUUGAUAUAUAUGAUGUUCAUUGUACUGCCAUGAUUGAACGGAUCUGAAUGUAAUUUUUAUUAUUUCCUAUGUUUGUUGUACUGCGAUGAUUGAAUGGAACUGGAUAUAGUUUUUGUUAUUUCUUAUGUUCGUUGUACUAUCAUCAUUGAAGAUGAAUAGGUAGAAAAUUCCGAAAAAAGUUACAUGCUGAUUCUCAUGAAAAAAAAUUACACGCUGAUUAGGGGACUUUUCUCUUCCACUCCUCCAUGUGUGUGUGUGUACGCGCGCAUGCAUGCGUGUCAAAAUUUAAGUUAUUAUCAAGACAUGGCAUGUACCAGUAUGUAAGUAUUGUAGGGCUAAAUUUUUUGGCAGCUCAAAACAUAAGCCGUGUACUUCCUAAUUUUUCUCAUAAGCCGUCUCUCUUAUUCACGAACUCUUCUAAACUAGUGAUAUGGUAACUAAUUUAGAAAUCUCAUCAAAUUUAUGGAACAACUUUUUUAAGCUAAAGAGAGACAACUUAUUUUUUAAGCAGCCCGAGAGAACUGGCAUGUGGUAAUGUGUGUGUUGGACUUUUUUCAAGAAAUGUAUUUUGUUGUUAGCAAUGAUGAUGCAGAAUUCUGUAAAUCAAUAUGUGGUUGGAUGGUUAAAAGUAUAGUGAUAUCCUUUGUCACACGAGUCAAGUCCUAGAAUUGAUGUUUGUUUUUUAUGAAUUUAUUUCAGGCCUUCUAACGAUGUGCAUUCAACAAAAGAAGAUGUCCCCGUGGAUAAUAAAACCGUCUGUGGUGACUUCCUCAAUAUCAAGAUGAUGUGCUAGCUCAAACUCUCGAAGGUGUUGAUAGGGAUAGAGUGCGUUCGUGCAUUCAUAGCCACAAAUGUAUAUGUGUAUGUAUGAAUGUUUCCGCAUGUACUAUGUUAAAAAAGGUGUAGCUAGAUGUCAGUCGAGUGAGACUUGAUGAAAUCUGAGUGAAAUGGCAGAACAUAUAAUUUUUUUUGAAAUAUCUCCAGG
rnacentral:lncRNA from 1 species